rnacentral:tRNA from 1 species
UGAGGAUGUAGCUCAAUGGUAGAGUGCUUGCCUAACAUGCACGUGGCCCUGGGUUUGAUUCCCAGCACCACAA